rnacentral:lncRNA from 1 species
CAAUAGCCAUUUAAAUAUCAAACCUUUCUGCUUCUCUGAACAACAUCCGACAUAAUACAUUAACUUGUUCACGAACACAUCAAAUGUUGUCCUAAACCCUAAACUCCUAAAACUCACAUCCAAAAAUUAUGAAGUUUAUCAACUUAGCCGUUUUUGGCUUCUUUUUCAUCAUUUUCUUCUUCUCAAAACCCUCUUUUCAAGCUUCCCCUCCUCCACCACCAAUCAAAUAUGACCAAAACCCUAGACUUUUCAAUGCUUACAUAGCUCUACAAGCUUGGAAACAUGUCAUGACUUCUGACCCUAGAAACUUCACCAAGAAUUGGUAUGGAUACAAAGUUUGCAACUACACCGGAGUUUACUGUGCUCCGGUACCAGAUAACCCUAAAAUCACUACCGUUGCCGGAAUUGACCUCAACCAUGCAAAUAUUUCCGGUUACUUGCCUGAAGAUCUUGGCCUGUUGACAGAUUUAGCCGUUUUCCAUAUAAACUCCAAUAGAUUUUCAGGCACUAUCCCAAAAUCCUUUUCUAAGCUCCAACUUCUCUAUGAACUUGACGUGAGUAACAAUCUUUUGUGUGGUGAAUUUCCUUCGGUUGUUCUUUCACUUUCUUCUUUAAAAUUUCUUGAUAUUAGGUAUAACCAAUUCGAAGGAAAUGUCCCUUCUCGACUCUGGGAUCGAAAACUGGACGCCCUUUUCAUAAACAACAACAAUUUUCAGUUUACAUGGCCUAAAAACUUAGGAAACUCGCCGGUUUCUGCUUUGGUUAUGGCAAAUAUCAAUAUCACGGGAUGUAUACCACCAAGUAUAGCAAAAAUGGGGAAAACGCUAAAUCAGAUUAUUCUCAUGAAUGCUAGUUUAAAUGGAUGUUUGCCACAAGAACUAGGGUUCUUGAAAAAUGUGACGGUUUUUGAUGUAAGCUUUAACAAUCUUGUUGGGAAGUUGCCGGAGACAAUGGCGGGCAUGAAGAAAUUGGAACAUCUCAACGUGGCACAUAACAAGCUCUCCGGCGAGAUUCCGGCGAGUAUUUGCUCGUUGCCGAGGUUGAAGAAUUUCACCUACUCUUAUAAUUAUUUCUGUGAUGAACCGAAGAUUUGUCUCAAGUUGAAGGAUAAAAAUGAUAAGAAGAAUUGUAUACCCUAUAGGCCAUCACAACGUUCAGUUAAUGAAUGUAAGGCUUUUUAUUCACGAGGUCCAGUUGAUUGCCGUUCAUUUGGUUGUGGAUCAAGAAGUCCUCCACCACCCCCGCCACCUCCUCCACCACCGCCACCGCCACCUCCUCCGAAAUCACAUUAUUACCAUUAUCCGUGAUUGAAGAAUAUAUUGUGUUUCUUUGACUUUGGUUUGCUUUUACUUGAUUGGGUAGGUUUUGAACUAAAAGGGAAAAGGAAAAUAAAAAAAUGAGGCUGUGUUAUCUUUCAAUAAAUUAUAUACAUGUAAGAAAGGUAGACUUUUUCUUAUUUAUUGUAUUUUACUUUUCUUAUUGCA